CGCAAAAAUCACAACCAGCUCCUCUGUGAACCAACAAUUCAGGAUUAGACCACCAAGAUAUCUUUUCUCCACUGUCCUUAGGCAAUGAACCUCGGAGAAAACAAUAUGAAACAAUAUCAAAGGAACACACAUUUGCAUAUCACUGGAUCGCUGGAAAUGUGUGGUGUGGUUGAACUAUUGGGCUUGAAUUGGUUCGUAGGAUCACAAGCUUUGGGUCAUUCAUUAUGCAAUGGUCCUUCCAGAAACAGGUCGGGUAUUUUGAAAAAACCCGUGUUAGGUAAACACUUUGCUAAAACGCAGACUCUAAAGUGAAAAGAGAUUAAAAAACCCUAAAUUUGUCUCACUCUUGUUUGCGCGCUUGGUUUGCCACCUUUCUCUCCCUUCUCCUUUUUUUCACAUGGCCCUUACUUCUUUUGUUUAUGGCUUUAUCGUGUACUACGUCUACUUUUUUGUUUUAUUCUGCCUUUCCCUGUCUGAACUAUGUAGUGUAACCUGCAAUGGCUUCGAGUGGGUCUUAGGCCUUAUGAAUUAUGUCUUGAGUUACUUAUUAAGUACUUCUGGUAAGGUAUGAACAUAGUUUUGAGUUAUUUAAGAACUCAUGGGUUGAUGGUUAUGAAUUUUUAAUUAACUCAGUUUAAUGUCGUGAUUUAGAGUUUAUUUUAGUCAUUUAUGAUAGUUUUUAUGCUUGUGUAUUUAAGUACCAUUUUCUCUUUCGCUAGGAUCUUACUAGACAUGUUAAGAUCCUCACAUAUUCGCCUAUUUACUAUUUAUCUCUAAUUGUUACAGCUACUAAAUUCUCUAUUAUUAUUAUCCCCCUUUGCUUAAGGAGAUAAUUAAGUUGUAAUCUCUCUAUUUAAACUAGUUCGUAUUUAGGAAUAAAUCAUCAGAGUAUUUAUCUAUUUUCUCUAAUAUUAUAUGGUAUUAGCAC